CUUGGGAACAGCUCGGCGGUUUCUGUAGCGGGAGAGAAAAAGUGGAAUGAAAGGCUCGCGCGGACAGCCGCGGGUUAUCCUCCAGGCUUCCAGGAGAAGUAGAAUCGCGAGCGCUAUUUAAAAAAAAAAAAAACAGGCGCCGGGUUGGACGAUCCAAACGACAGUUGAAGGCCCUGCGUGAAGCGAGAGACCUGCGAGCGAAUUAGCGUGGCGAGGGGCGACGACGGGGCGCUAUGGCGUGGAGGGAAGGGAAGAAAGACUAUCUAGCUACACUGAACACCAAAGCUACAAAAAAAGGAAAAGAUUUCUCUCAAUGAAAUUGCAUGCACUAGGAUUUACUUGCACAUUAUUCCCAAGUUUUAUGAAGACUAAGUA
rnacentral:lncRNA from 1 species